rnacentral:lncRNA from 1 species
GGGAGAAAGCCGAGCCAGGCUCAGCCUAGCUCACCCAUAGGGCCCACUACACUUCGCAAGAAGAUGGCAGCCUGGGCGUCGGAGUCACCUCCUGGGCAGCCUACGAGGUGAGGGGCCCUGAGGAGCAUGGGACAGGUGAUGGGAAUCCUGGAGCCAGAGGCUCCAUUUCCGCUCCCCUUAUAGCAACCCCAGUGAAGCCUGAGCGUUCAGAUGGCCAGCAGCUCGGGGCUAAGCGUCACCGAACUCGCGGGCUCGGUGGGGUUUAUCCUGGCGGUUCUCGUAGAGGUGGGGGCCGUGCUGGGCAACGGCACUCUGCUCGUGGUGGUGCUGCGCACGCCGGACCUGCAAGAUGCCUUCUACCUGGCGCACUUGUGUGUUGUGGACCUGCUGGCGGCCG